GAGCUUGCUCCUUUGACGUUAGCGGCGGACGGGUGAGUAACACGUGGGUAACCUACCUAUAAGACUGGGAUAACUUCGGGAAACCGGAGCUAAUACCGGAUAAUAUUUCGAACCGCAUGGUUCGAUAGUGAAAGAUGGUUUUGCUAUCACUUAUAGAUGGACCCGCGCCGUAUUAGCUAGUUGGUAAGGUAACGGCUUACCAAGGCGACGAUACGUAGCCGACCUGAGAGGGUGAUCGGCCACACUGGAACUGAGACACGGUCCAGACUCCUACGGGAGGCAGCAGUAGGGAAUCUUCCGCAAUGGGCGAAAGCCUGACGGAGCAACGCCGCGUGAGUGAUGAAGGUCUUCGGAUCGUAAAACUCUGUUAUUAGGGAAGAACAUACGUGUAAGUAACUGUGCACGUCUUGACGGUACCUAAUCAGAAAGCCACGGCUAACUACGUGCCAGCAGCCGCGGUAAUACGUAGGUGGCAAGCGUUAUCCGGAAUUAUUGGGCGUAAAGCGCGCGUAGGCGGUUUUUUAAGUCUGAUGUGAAAGCCCACGGCUCAACCGUGGAGGGUCAUUGGAAACUGGAAAACUUGAGUGCAGAAGAGGAAAGUGGAACUCCAUGUGUAG
rnacentral:rRNA from 1 species